rnacentral:rRNA from 1 species
UACGAAGGGGGCUAGCGUUGCUCGGAAUCACUGGGCGUAAAGGGUGCGUAGGCGGGUCUUUAAGUCGGGGGUGAAAUCCCGAGGCUCAACCUCGGAACUGCCUUCGAUACUGGCGAUCUUGAGUCCGGGAGAGGUGAGUGGAACUCCGAGUGUAGAGGUGAAAUUCGUAGAUAUUCGGAAGAACACCAGUGGCGAAGGCGGCUCACUGGCCCGGUACUGACGCUGAGAUACGAAAGCGUGGGGAGCAAACAGG